UUGAUAUCAGCAUAUUAUAAAAAUGGAGAUAAAGUCCAAAAUAAACAAAAGAAUUGAAAGUCAUUGUCCCUGGAAAGCAGGAUUGGAAAGGAAACUGCUUUCUUAAAAAAAUUGUUGUUGUCUUGGGUCUUGCGGUAAUAUUCAUGUUCUUAAAUUGUAUUCAUUGAUACUACGAAGAAUUUAAAAAGUAAACAUAAAGAACAUUUGUAAUGUUGAGAAAAACAUACUUCCCUAUAAUAGCUCCUGUGACAACUUGGAAAAAUCCCUAACAGAUAAGCAUUCUACCUCCACUUUAUAUGUGAGGAAAUUAAAGCCCACAGAGACUAUGCUGGUUGACACAGUUAUUCAGUGAUAGGGCCAGGCAUCAAACCCAGUCUUUCUGCUUUUCUGUUUCAGGGAUCCUCAUAAUACCUCCUAACUUCUUGUUAUCUAGCUUGAAUUUGUUAUGUUACUUUAAAUAACAUCAUCCACACAGGAGCAACUUAAAAAAAAAACUGAAAGUAGGAAAUGGCAUCCUUCAUUAGGCAUGACCGAGCUAGAUGAACAGAUUCUUAACGAUAUCUUAGAUCUCUGUUGCACCCCUGUUUUGAGGACACUGAAGAACGGAGAUGAACAUGCAGAAGCAGCCUUUGUGUCAUCUUUGCUGGAGCUCUCACAAGACAAUUCCAUGAAGCAAUUAUAGAGCAAGUAGACCCUCAACUUGACAAUAGAGAUGAGAUGGUGUGGCCUGCACACAGUGACUUCAGAAGAGCAUAGUGUGAAAACGGAAUAAAAGAGUAUCUUUCCUUUGGAGAAACCUGCUGAACACCACCUCAGCCAGGUGACUGAAGUCAACAACAGUGGUAAGUCAUGUUCAUUGCAUGAAUCCUUGACAUGAGGAAAAUGGCACUUUACUUCUGUGUUCUUCCUCUCUCAAACCUAUAACUUCAAAUUAAUCAUGAGGAAAACAGCAGACAACCCCCAGUGACGGGAUGUUCAAAA